rnacentral:misc_RNA from 1 species
GAUGAAGAACGUAGCGAAAUGCGAUAAGUAGUGUGAAUUGCAGAAUUCAGUGAAUCAUCGAAUCUUUGAACGCACAUUGCGCCCUUUGGUAUUCCAAAGGGCAUGCCUGUUCGAGCGUCAUUUGUACGCUCAAGCUUUGCUUGGUGUUGGGCGUCUUGUCUCUAGCUUUGCUGGAGACUCGCCUUAAAGUAAUUGGCAGCCGGCCUACUGGUUUCGGAGCGCAGCACAAGUCGCACUCUCUAUCAGCAAAGGUCUAGCAUCCAUUAAGCCUUUUUUUCAACUUUUGACCUCGGAUCAGGUAGGGAUACCCGCUGAACUUAAGCAUAUCAAUAAGCGGAGGA